AUACGGAGGGUGCAAGCGUUAUUCAGAAUCACUGGGCGUAAAGGACGCGUAGGCGGGUUGGCAAGUCAGAUGUGAAAUCCUACAGCUUAACUGUAGAACUGCAUUUGAAACUGCUAACCUAGAGUAUGGGAGGGGGAGAUGGAAUUAGUGGUGUAGGGGUAAAAUCCGUAGAUAUCACUAGGAAUACCGAAAGCGAAGGCGAUCUCCUGGAACAUAACUGACGCUAAGGCGUGAAAGCGUGGGGAGCAAACAGGAUUAGAAACCCCAGUAGUCC
rnacentral:rRNA from 1 species